rnacentral:rRNA from 1 species
AUUGAACGCUGGCGGCAGGCCUAAUACAUGCAAGUCGAACGAGUGGCGGACGGGCGAGUAAUGUCUGGGCAACUGCCUGACGUAGGGGGAUAACUGCUGGAAAAGGUAGCUACUACCGCUUACCAUCCGAUCUGCCCAGAUGGAAUGAGGUAGUCGGUGGGGUAAAGGCUCACCUAGGCGACGAUGCCUAGCUGGCCUGAGAGGGUGACCGGCAACACUGGGACUGAGACACGGUCCAGACUCCUACGGGAGGCAGCAGUAGGGAAUAUUCGGCAAUGGACGCAAGCCUGAUGCAGCCAUGCCGCGUGUAUGAAGAAGGUCUUCGGGUUGUAAAGUACUGUCAUCAGGGAAGCGUUACCCACAGAGAAAGCAACGGCUAACUCCGUGCCAGCAGCCGCGGUAAUAC